rnacentral:rRNA from 1 species
GAUGAACGCUGGCGGCGUGCCUAAUACAUGCAAGUCGAGCGAACAGACGAGGAGCUUGCUCCUCUGACGUUAGCGGCGGACGGGUGAGUAACACGUGGAUAACCUACCUAUAAGACUGGUAUAACUUCGGGAAACCGGAGCUAAUACCGGAUAAUAUAUUGAACCGCAUGGUUCAAUAGUGAAAGACGGUUUUGCUGUCACUUAUAGAUGGAUCCGCGCCGCAUUAGCUAGUUGGUAAGGUAACGGCUUACCAAGGCAACGAUGCGUAGCCGACCUGAGAGGGUGAUCGGCCACACUGGAACUGAGACACGGUCCAGACUCCUACGGGAGGCAGCAGUAGGGAAUCUUCCGCAAUGGGCGAAAGCUUGACGGAGCAACGCCGCGUGAGUGAUGAAGGUCUUCGGAUCGUAAAACUCUGUUAUUAGGGAAGAACAAAUGUGUAAGUAACUAUGCACGUCUUGACGGUACCUAAUCAGAAAGCCACGGCUAACUACGU